rnacentral:lncRNA from 1 species
CUGAGGUGUCUUUAGGAUUUCAUUAGAGCUUGUAAAGUGUACAGUUGAGCUACUUGACAAAUUUAACAGUUUUCUGUCAGAAAAUGCAGUUUCUUUGAAACUGAAAUGUUUAAUGGGAAGUGUCAAUUUCAAAGAAAUUUUCAAAGGGAAAAGGCAAAAUGAUUUGUUUUGACUUUCCUGUUUCAGCUUGACAAGAUAAAAACAUUUAGCCUCAACAAGGUAAAAAUGUUUCAUUUUAACUUUCAUUGUCUUUCCUUUCAACCUUUAGAAUAUACUUUAUAUAUGUGGAUAAAAAUAAAUAUAAAAUAGCCAUAUUUUAAAACAUUUCAACAUUAUUGAAACUAAAUGAUUCAGCAUUAUUGAAGCAAAACAUUUCAAUGUUUCAGAAGGAAAGUUUUUCAGAAUUUCCAUUUCAUGAUAGAUUUCAUAACUUUGACUCACGUUCUUAUUCACAUGUCCAAGUUUCCAGUGGCAUGGAAAUUCCAUUUUCUGAGCAGUCUAGUGUUCAGAUUCUACAGUGGGGGCCACAAAAGUACUUUAGACAGAUAAGAGGGGACGAUUGAGGAGCAGUCUUGAAACAUUUCUUUUUUAAAGACUAAGCCUGCUUGCCAGGGUGAAAAAUAUCUUUAUCACCAAGCUCCUAACACUUUAAACGGGUUACUUUGCAAAAAUUUAACUCUUGGUUCUAAAGUGAAGCGCUUAGCCGGGUAGAGGAAUGGGACUCAUUGGCUAGAACAGCCUAUCCCAAUAUGGGUCUGGAAGGGAAAAAAGGCUCAUGCAAGUCAACUCUCAUCUCUCAAGUAGCUGUGUGUUGAUUCUGAUCCCUUUUCUCCACCCUGACACAGUAAAAGUCAAGAUGGGGUCUAAAGAUUAUUAUUGUGUUUCUGUUUUUUGUUUUUUAAGUUUCAUCCUAGUCAAGAGUAAGAGUUUUGUAUAUGCACACGCACAUGUUGCUGAUGCGUACACACACACACACACACACACACACACACACACACACACACACACACACACAGCUGUAAACAUAUCUAUCCUCAUGAUACCAGCUAGCAUGCAAGGGCAUUAUUGCAAAUAUUAAAAAAAACACAAACACCCAGUUCAUUAUUAAGAACAUAAGUGACUUUUACAGUUGUCUAAAUGUGAACAGUAAUAAAGGUCAUAAUAUAAAGAUUUUUUUUAAUCUG